rnacentral:lncRNA from 1 species
ACUAUUAACCAAACUCCAUGUCCUAAUCGAGAUGAGUACUUCUACUGGGAUGCCCUUCAUCUUUCGGAUGCCACCAAUAUGGUCAUUGCGAAUAGGUCAUACAAUGCUCAAUCUCCCACCGACACUUAUCCGAUUGAUAUUUCUGACCUUGUCAAGCUCUAGUAAAGGAGAUGACAGUUACAUGGGACAAUGUUAUCUAAAGGGUUUUGUUGUAUUGAAGUUCCAUAGUUUGUGUUUUAGUUUCAAAGAAUAAGACUAUGUACUACCUUCAUUUCUUCAACUUCAAGAAAAAUUAUAUGAAAAUAUUUUGGGUUAUAAUAAUACUAAGAGUCUCUUUGUUAGUUUUCAACCCAUAUUUUUCACGAUGCGAGACUCAUUUUUUAUUUGGUGAACCGUAUCAAAAUCAUGCUUUUGUUUCUUUUGGAUUCCACCUGCUCUAGCUCCUUGACAGUCCAUGACAUAGAGCUGAAUGCAUACUCUGUUUUUUUCUUUUUUUUUUUACGCUUUUAUUCUUCUCUGUUCAUUACUCUUUUUCUUGUUGAUGGUGGAGUGAUAUCGUCAAUGGCCAAGUUUCUGGGACUUGGGGGCCUUGGUUUCCAGGGGAUGAGGAUACUAGUAAGGAAACUUUCUCUGUAUACAACACUUGAAGGUGUUCAUCCUUCAGCAUGCUUGCCUUCAAUCGUUGACGUGAGAACAAAUGAAAAGUUGUUGGUGAAUGAGUUCUAAUAUUGGUCUCAAAUAAUGGAGAGCAACUGGGAAGGAAUACUCUGAAUUUCUGCAAGAGUUCACGCACCGUGUCAAGCAGGUUGUGAAGCCAUCUCUACCAAAGCAAAAAGUGGUUCAAACAGCAAAGAAGGAAGGAGUCGCAAUGCUACCCCAAACUCUUCUGAACACCCGGGCUCCAUUUUUUUUUUUUUUUUGCAUGGCCAAGCAUGGCACCCCACCAAACCUUUGCAAAAUCUUUUGACCUCCAUACUCCACCCAUACCCGCCAGACCUGAUUCUCUCUAUACCUCCCUCCCUCAUCUGUUUUCUUUCAGUUUCAGAGCUCUCCAAAAACUCGAGCCCAUCUUCUAUUUCUCUCUCUUCCUUCCUCGUAUUGAAUGGAUAUUUGAUUGAUGGAUUGAGGUGUUUAUGGAUCAGAAUGCGGGUGAAGAAGAUACAUCCAUUGUGUAGUAUAUCGCUGGAGAGUCCCGGAAUAGGAGACCAGUCGCCAGAGGUGAGUAGGGCGGUAACUACAGCCUCUUCCGGUGGAUCUGACGGCAACGCGGGGCGGCAGGUAGGAUCUGAUAUCAACGUCGCCGGAGUUCUCUACAAGUGGACAAAUUAUGGCAAGGGUUGGAGAUUCUGGUGGUUCCUGCUAAGGAGUGGCGUUCUUUCUUACUCCCAGAUUCGCCAGUCGAAGAGCCUUCACCUUCCAUUACCGGCAGACGACAUCCGGGUAAUAGGUGACGUCCCCACGAAUCGCCUCUCCAGGUUGGACAGUGGUGGCGGUAGACGAAAGCACCGGAAAAAUGUUGGCUCGUUCUGGGCCGGACAUUUCUGGUCAGUUGACCAAGCAGAAAACGGAGCGUGAUCCACGGCGUGUUGGAGUGCCGAUUGGACUACAAUCUGUACAUAUGAUGGAGGAAAUCAGAGCUAUUCAAGUUGAGUUUGAUGGUCCUUUUGUUCUUUGAGUAAGCCGCCUUCACUUCUUGUUGUCACAAGCGUAGAAAAUACUUCCACAUCUUUGGUAUCCAAAACUGAAGGUGGUGAUAAAAUUAAAAAAAAAAAAAAAAAGAAUGUGUGGGUGUCUGAAACUGGUCAACCAAUUUCCAGAGAGAGACUUCUAGAUGGAGCCAAUGAAGUUUGCCAUAUUCCAUAGACUGGUGCCACUUCGGAUGUUGUCCUUUCUCCUGCUAGCACAAUCGAUGAAGACUUGGUUGCACCAGAGUCAUUGGAUAUUGCAGUGGCAUAUAGAGCUGAUACAUUGCUGUGAAACCAAAGUUUGGUUAAUCUUGAUUUUGAUGAUAACAAAAUAAGGUUUAGAACUAAUGAUCAUAUUUCAAGUGUGAUUAGGCAAGACGAUUUCCAAAGUGGCAAUCACAAAGACAAAUCAAGCCAAGGAGAAAUCAUGAAGAAGAAGACCACCUCAAAGAUAAGAGUUUUUCAAGACCAAAGCUUCAUAAGAUCUCUUUGUAAGGUUGUUGGUGCACUAAAACUUUCAUGCAUUUCAUUCUUUAUUUAUGCACCAAAAUCAUCCAAGAGUAAUAUUGUUUUAAAUAUCUUAAGAAUUGGAUGAUUUCAUGUUUUCAACUAAAAUCCUGUGUUAAAUGAUUUUCAAACUUGUGUUAAAAGGUUUUAAGUUGAAAAAUGUUGGGUGUUGAGCCAAAAAAUGGCUCAACCGGUCGAUCGGUUGUGCUCGUCCGGUCGAGAAUCAGUUGAGGGAGGCCAAAAAGUUUCUCUCUCUCCCAAUGGCCUUCUCUUCCCGGUUAAGGUUGAACCUUAACCGGUUGAGGUCCAAUAUAGGUCUGGUUGAAGCCCAACAGUCACUUGCCAAACAUUAAAUGCUAACGGCUAGUCAACCGAUCGACCCUUAGCUCGACUAGUCGAACCCCCAAUGGCUAGUUUGGUGUUUUUUCUUCUAUAAAAAGGCUUCAAUCUUCAUUGUUUCAUAAGCUUAACAUUCCCAAAUCUUUUUUGAUUAUAUUUGAGCAUUGGAAGAGUAUUUUUGAGUGCACCAUUAUUUCAAAACUUGCAUAUUCUUAGUGCACCAUUCAAUCCUAGUUUUUCUUAUAUCAAUUGAGCUUAAAGUUCUUGUGUAAACCCUUGAGAGUAAGUUGUUUAAGAGAGGGAUAUCUCUUGAGAAGUGUAAAGGGUGUUUAGAGCCAAAAGUCCAAGAGGGUGAAUUGGAACCAUAAUCCAAUUGUAUUACUUGAAAGCUUGGGUUGGAAGCCUUAAAUUAGUGGAACCUCAAGCUCGGGAUUGAAGCUAGAGGAGAGUGGAUGUAGGCCGAGUUGCGCCGAACCACUAUAAACUCUUGUGUUUGCAUUCUCUCUUCCCUACUCCUUAAUUUAUAUGCAAUUGUCUAUAUAUUGCUUAUUAUAUACUUGCAUAUAAUUGUCUCUUACAUUUACUUGUUUAAAUUUGCGAGAAGAGACCAUCACCCUAUUCACCCCCCCUCUAGGGUGAUUACUGUAGGUUGGAUUAGCCUCAAAUUCCUAACAAUUGCCUUUGAUAGAAACUAAUCAACAUUCUCCAACUGUAAUCACUAGCCUCACAGUGCAGUGCUAGUUGCACCCAAGUAGGAAAAUGUCUCGAUAUAUCGUGUAUCAAGAGUGGGUGACACGAUAUUUCAUGAAGAAAAAUUGGAGGAGGGAUAUUUCGCAAAAAUCCCCAAAAAAUCAACGAUAUAUCGCCGAUAUAAUGGGAAAAGGGCCAAAAAGAUGAAAAUCGUCGAUAUUUCGAUCGGUCAAUGCGGGUCAACGCGCUAUAGUGCCCCUACUAUAGUGAGCUACAGUGCACCCUCAAUUUUCUCAUUUUUUGGGGUUCAACGCAUCCAACCACUAGGGCAAGCUUGCUUUUUGUUAAAUAGAUUGCACUUAAAAUAUAUAUUCAAAGUCAUCAUGUAAAGAAAAUUUUAAAAGAAAAUUUUAGAGAGCAAAUUAAGUAUAAUUAUUUUAUAAUUAAAUAAAAAAAUUUCUUUUAAUUGAUUACCAAAAAUAUAAAAAUUAUCAUAAUAAUUUUUUUCAUAGUGUUUUCAAUAUCAUUAAUAAAUUAAUUAAAUAUUAAAAAAUUGUACAUAUAUCAUAAUUUAUUUUAUAUUAUUUAAUACAAUUGAAUUAAAUUGAUCAUAAUUUUGAUAUUAAUAUAUAUUUUUAAGUUAGUCAUAUUAUAAUCAAAUAUUAUAAUAUUAUUAUGAAAUAAUAUUUGAUAUAAUUUAAUAAUAAAUGUAUAUUUAUAAAAUUCAUAUUUUUAUCGAUGCAUACGAUAUUAUUAUUAAAUAUGAUAAAUUAUAUUAUACAUAUAUCAAAUUCUUUAAUAAAACAACUUUAAAAUAUCUAUUAUACUUCUAAUUAUAUUUUUAUAAAGUUUUUUUUGUAUUUUUUAUAAAUUUUGAUUAAUUUUAGGUUAUCGAUAUUUUUUUCCAAAAUAUCCGUUGAUAUAUCUCCGUUAUAUCCGUAAAAUCGAAGUACCGAUAUAACCGUGAUUAUUGAUAUUUUCAUCCUUGGUUGCACCUAGGGCCCAUGUGCAUGACCUUAUUUUCGCAUGGCCACCUUUGGCCGCCAACCCCAAGUGCCACACCUCUUUUACUUAUUUAUUUAUUUAUUUUUAUUAUCUCUUCGUAUUUUGAUAUCCAAGCUUAAUUUUCUAAAAUUCUGAUUUCCAAAUUUAAUUUUCAAUUUUCAUAUUUAUUUAUUUAAUCAUUAUUAUUUUCGUUAUUAUUAUUAUUCUAUUUAUUUAUUUUUAAAUUUUCAUCUUUAAGUAAUUUUUCAAAAUUCUGAUUUCCAAAUUUAAUUUCCAAAUUCCAAAAUUCCAAUUUUCACAUUUAUUUAUUUAAUCAUUAUUAUUUUCGUUAUUAUUAUUAUUAUUCUAUUUAUUUAUUUAUUUUUAAAAUUUCAUCUUUAAAUAAUUCUUCAAAAUUUUGAUUUCCAAAAUUUCAAUUUUCACAUUUAUUUAUUUAAUCAUUAUUAUUUUCAUUAUUAUUAUUAUUAUUAUUAUUAAUUUAUUUAUUUUUUAAAAUUCCAUCUUUAAAUAAUUCUUCAAAAUCCCGAUUUCCAAAUAUAAUUUCCUAUUUCCAAAAUUCUAAUUUCCACAUAUAUUUAUUUAAUCAUUAUUAAUUUUGUUAUUAUUAUUAUCUUAUUUAUUUAUUUUUAAAACUUCCAUUUUCAAACAAUUUUCAAAAUUCCAAUUUUCAAAACUUCCAUUUUUAAAUAAUUUCCAAGUUUCCAAUUUUCAUAAUUUAAUUUUCAGAAUUCCAAUUCUCAAAUAAUUUUCCAAAAUUCCAAUUCUUAAAUUUAAUUUCCAAACUUCCAAUUCUUAAGUUUAAUUUUCAAAAUUCCAAUUCUUAAAUUCAAUUUUCAAAACUCCAGUUUUUUCAAUAAUUUUCAAAGCUCCAAUUUCUUUUGAAUCUAAUUUCCGAAAAUUUCAAUUUUCAAACAAUUUUCAAAAUUCUAGUUUUCUUUCAAAUAAUUUUAAGUUCACUCUAGUUCUCAUUAAUCUUACAAUUUUUCAUUCUUUAUUAAGAUUUUAUCUCGUUUUUAAUAAACUUGCUACCUUUCUUUUCAGGUAAGCACUUUAACAAAUUUUCUUUGAUUUUAAAAUAAUUUUCCGUUUUCCUUGAUUUUUAAUAAACAUGAAGAUAAUUUUCAUAAUUCCACAAUAAUGGAAUUUGUGGGAUUAAUUCAUGCAAGAUCAAUUGGGCUUUGGUGGGGGCCUUACAUAUAAGUUUUUAUCUUCUGAUUGUCUCACUAUCACGCUUAAUAGAUAUUACUUGAUCUUUGGCUUGCUCUUUGAUAUGCAUAUGAUGAUUUUAUGUUUGAGCUAACUUUGUUUUCAUGAUAGCACACUAUUACUUGUUGCCUAGGUACGCUCCCACUCCCACUUUGCUUAUUCUUAUGCAUGAUUUGUUUUAUUAUUUAAUCAUUUCAUUGGUAUCCAUUACUUUUCUAGUUAAUUGUUAUGUUUGUUUCACCUUAUUUAGUAGAGACCCAUUUUUAGGGGCUUAGAGGGGUGUUACGGUCUUUACCGUACCUUUCCAAUAAGCAACCUGACCCCCGGACCCGACUUUAGUUUUUCACAUACUGUCUUUUCUAAAUAAGGAGUCACACUUGCGGUUUUCUUUCUUAUUUUGUUUUUCCUUUAAAAAAAAAUAAAACAAAAAUAAGUGGUGACUUCAAGUCUUUUCUAAAAAAUCAUAUUUUCACUAAAUAAAUAAAAAAAGAUUUUCGUCAUCGAGUGGGAACGCAUCGUGUGAAGAUGCGGGGUCCAUAAAAAUAUAUAUAUUUUCAACUAUAUAUAUAUAUAUUAGCAUUAGGAUAAGAUAAAAAAAAUAUAAUAAGGUGACAUUUAAAUAUGUUUUUAUUUUUAUUUUAAAAAUAGAAACUUCUAUAUAUUUUAUAAGAACUAAUUUACAAAAAUAAACAUUUAUCUUGUGUUCUCAAAACACUGUAGACAUAAAUUAUCACUAAUUUGGUCUUCAAAAUGAAUAAAUUAAAAAAAAAAAUCCUCUUAUGGAUAAGUUUCCUUAAUCUCCAAAAGGAUAAUAAUAAUAAUAAGAAAAUUAUUAUUAUUAUUAUUAUUAUUAUUAUUAUUAUUAUGUUGGUAAAACCUCUCAUUGCUAAAAUCAAGGAACUAAAUCCCUUGAAUUAAAUAACUAAAAUUGAGGAAUUUGAAAUUCAAAUUCCCUAUCUUCACCUAAAAAUAGGGAUGUCUUCUAUCAAGGAGGGGUGAAGAAAAUUUAGAAAAUUAUAAAAAUCCAUAAAGGAAAAUCAUAAGGAGAAAAUUCAAAGGUAAUUUCAUAUGGGAAAAGGGGUUUCACAACAAAAGAAAGAGUUUCAUCAAAUCUCCCUACAAGUUUGGUAAAUGGCAAAAAAAGAGCUGCUACAUGUGUUCUUCGCCAUUCAACAAGGUCAUUCAGGAAUAAGCCACUUGUGACCCUCGAUUGAUCUUCGAAAUCAAGAAAACAUCAUCGUCAUCUUCAAAGUGUGAUCAAGGUAAAAGAAUCAGAGGGAAAAUAUUCUUUUGGAAAGAAUAUUAUUUUUGAGAUUGUACCCACAAUAUUUUUAAUUUCAAUAAAUUUUUUGUUCACAUUAUUUUCCUAUUUGUUUUGCUAAUUUUGAAAGACCAAAUUUUACGAAAUUUGUGCAUACAAACACAUUUCAAAAUUUUAAAAAAUUUGAAAGCGUUUCUAAGUAACAAAUUAUGUAUUAGAUCGAGGUGUAACUUAGGCUGGUUGGUUUGACCCAACUUGAUGUUUUGGUAUAUUUGAAUAAAUAUUUUUAAUGUUUAGAUUAAGUUUUUUUAACCAAAACUCAAUUUGGGUUGGGUUAAUGCCAAGAUUUGGGCUAUCCAAGCGUAACACAAAUCUCACUUAAUGUUUUUAUAAUAUUUAUAAUGUUUAUUUUCCUUUAUAAUAAUAUUCAUUUUUUUAGAUUUAAAAAAAGUUAAAUUAUAAUUAUAUUAUAUACUUUUUUAUUUAAAAAAAAAGAUAAAUAAGUUACAUUUUUAUUGUUAUAUUAAAUUUUGUCUUAUUUAUUAUUUGAAUUUUGGUAUAAAUAUGUAGAAAUUUAAAAGAAAAAAAUCACUAUAGAUGGAUGUCAAACCAUGCAAUUCAAUUAACUCCACUAACCCGAGUUUAAUACGAUCAACUCGAGUUUAACCUGAUCAACACCAUUUUAACUUGACCAAUCUAAAUUUAAUCCAAGUUUUAAAAAAAUGAGGUUGAAUUGGAUUUUGGUUAAGUAUAUAUCUCAGGUUGAUUUUUUCUUAAUUCAUGUUAUAAUUAUCAACCCGAACCAUCCGUUCAAAUUACUACCUUAUUAUGCAUUACUUUUUGUAUAAUUUCUUUUUACGUUUUACAUAAAAUUUUAUAUUUUUAAAAAUAAAAAGCUAGAAAAUGCAUUCAAACACUCCAAAAAAGAAAUCUAAACACAACAAACCGGAAUGAAUUAUCUCAGCAAGUAACCCUAUAUAAAUUAUCAUGCAUCAAAUUAAGCAAUAACCAUCUCAAAAUUGAUUUAAUUUUCAUGAAGGGUGGCUAGUAAUUAAUAAAUACUGGUGGAGCUGCAUGCAUGCAAGGGGUAGUAAAGAGGGUUUUUAACUCCAAGGCAACAGCCAUUGAAAAACCCUUCAGAAGAGGAAUUGGCCAGUAUUUAAGGGCAUUCAACUCCAACCCAGUUCCUACAAUAAAUUCCUAUGCCAUCUGGCAAUAAUGUGUUUGAUUUUAAGCCAAAUAAAGGAUAUGAUGUUGUGCCUGUCUGUUGGGAGUAAAAGCAUGUGAAUCCCAUACUUGAUAACAUAUGUUAUUUAUAAGAGAAAUGUUGGUAUUUUAUACUAGUUGUAUUUGGUAAUUGAUUAAUUUGUAACUCAAAAAAUGUAUAUUUAGCAAAAUUUUCAUAAAAAAACAGUUUGUUUUUUUCUUUUAAUUAUUCUAAAAACAUGUUCUUUUUUAUAUAUAUAAAUUAUUUUGAGUAAUAAUUGAAAAGAUGGAAAUUAUUUUAAAAACUUUUACAUUAUAUAUGAGUAUACUUGUUUUUCGUAUAUGAGUUCUCAAAUAUAAUUUUAUUUUUGAAAAUAUAUAAUUGAAGAAUGUUUUUAAGAAUGGUACUCAAAAACAUUUUUAAAAAAUAUUACCAAACAUGCCCUUGACCGUUAGUUGGUUUAGAUUUUUUUUUUUUAAAGUUCAAUAAAAUUUCUUGUUGUACUUAUUCAAUCAUUUUAUUAAGAAGGCUCAUGUAUAUUGGCCUUUUGUAAUGUAAAUUUUUGCAAUUCAAAAUAUUAUGCCUCUUUGCUAACUAUUUUCAAAAGCAAUUUUUAAAAAUAGUUUUUGAGAAUAAUUUUAAAAAAUUGUUAUUUUCAAAAACCGUUCUUUUAUGUUUUAUAGAACAAAUAUCUGUUUGAAAAUAUGAAAUGUUUUAAACAUGUUUUCUAUUUUUUUAAAAUAAUUUUUAUAUAUAGAGUUAUUUUUUUAAUCAUUCUCCACAUUUGUAUAAUUAUUAUUUUUUUAAAAUUCAUUAGAAAAAAAAGUAAAAACAACUAAAAGAUGCUCUUACAUUAGUUGAAAAUACCCUCAUUUUCUAUUUUUUAGUUAUUGAACGUGUGUUUUUUUUAGAACAAAAAGUUGUUUUUGAAAAUAAUUACCAAACAUAGCCUUAAUUUUCAAAAAAAUUCAUCCCUUUAAUGAACUAAAUUGAUGUGUGUGUGUAUUAUAUUGUGUGUGCAGUAACUUUUAGCCAUAUUUCUAGAAAAAAAAUCCAUAUAUAGUAUUGAUUUGGUAUUAUGUUGAUGUUUUGAUUUAAGUUUUUUUUAAGUAUAUGAUGCGUUGGGAUAUUGAGUUUUAUUUGUAUGUUGGUAAUUUUGUAUUUUUUUUUAAAUGUUUGAUUAUAAAAGUCCUUUUAGAUAGUGAUUUGUUUUUCAUUGAAAAUUAAAGAUUGUUAAUUCGUUCAACCGAGAAGUUAUAGGUAUGUUUAAAAAUGUUUGACUUAUGGUAAUUAAGUUAGGUUCGUAUGAGGUAUAAAGUGAAUCGAUUUUGUAUUUUUUGUUUUUUUUUGUUUUUCUAACUUAAAAUGCUUUAAAUUAUUGUUUUGAAAAAGGGCAGACCGCUCAAGUAGUUUGAAAUGCUCCAAGCAUUGAAGAUAGCUCAAGCACUCAAGCAUUGAAGACCGCUCCAACAAGCAAGUUGAUUCUCCUAAAUUUUUUCAUGCAAAUUUAAUUUAGAAUUGUUCCAAAACCACUACUCUUCGAGUUAUUUGCCUAUAAAUACUUUAUUAUAACCCUUCGAAUUUAGAAAUGUAUUUAUUGGAACAAUAUGAGGUUGUUGACGUGGAUCAACAUGUAGGUAUUGAAAAAUAAGUUUUUAGGGUAAAUUGUUGUGUUGUUGAUGUGGAUCAAGAUGUAGAUAUUGGAAAUGAGUUUUUAGGGUAAAGUGAUAAGGUAAUUCCACUAACUCUAUCUCAUAUAGUGGAUUUAGAUCAAUGGUCUUAGACCUCUUGAUUUUUGACAAAAAUCCUUGUAUCUUAUUGCUUAUAUUUUUUAUUAUCUUGUUUGUAUUUUCUAUCUUUAAUGGGAUUAUCUAACAGGUAAUACAUAUAAAUCUUUAUUUAAAUUUUUUAAGUACAUCCAUUCACCCACUUGUUAUCCUAUCGGAUUUCAGGAUUUUUCAAAGAUACAAUUUCAGCUUAUGCAAAUGAAAUAAAAAAUAAAAAAUAAAACUAUAAAAGAAUAAAGAUACCAAAUAAUAAGAUAAUCAUACCAGCAUAUUAAGUACUACAAUCCAUCCUUGAAUUUUCAACCAUCCUCUAAAAUAUAAGUAAACAAAAGAAAAAUUCAAGAAAAAAAAAAGUCAAAAAGAUGAUAUCAUCUUUUAGAUCUAGACACAUUUUAUUUGACUAGCAUGCAUGGAAAAUUUCAUACUUUGAUUUAGUUUUAUUUGAAGAGAUUUGGUUGAAAAUUCUUUAUUAGGAUAAAAGGAAUUUUUAAAACUUUGAAAUUAAUUUUUUUUAAUAAGAGUUUUUUCAUUUUAUAUAGAACAGAUUGUAAUUUUUAUUUAGAAAUUAAAUACUAGCAAUUAAGUACCCAUAAAUAAUGCCCACUUAUUUAAUAUAAAAUUUUUUUUGGUAGGAAUUAGUUAGGUUUCUAAAAAUUGAAAUCUGACAUGUCUACAAUCAAUGUAAGAAAUAAAUUAUAAUAAGCUUGUUAGGUGAGAAAAUAAAUGUUAUUGGUCAACAUGUAUAUUUUUUUUUUCAACAAAUAUAAGUAAUUAAAUAUUGAUAUUUCAAAAUAUUAUAUUCAUUUCAAAUUUUCUAUUCAACCAAUCAAUUCAAAUCACCGACUUAUAUGAUUUGACAAUAUCCUUUUUUUUUUCUUCAACUCCAUUGAUAAGAUCUCACUACCUCUCAACCCAUGGAAAAUAAUAUGGCACUGUGAGGGUCCCAAAGUCUCAGCAUUCAUACUGAUUGUUUGACCAAAAAAAGAUCUCUGCACGUUGAAACUGAAAGUAACAAUUCCCUUAAUUGCUUGGAAGUAUUCUAGCAACAUUUCCUUGACUCUUUAAAAGGAAACAUUCAAUGAAGCUAUCCCUCAACUUGUCUACGAUAUGUGAAAUUAAAGGGAUCCACUACCAAAACUAUCUAGCAUUCCUUGAGUUGUAUCUUAAAAAUGACUAUAGAGCCUAUUGUCUAAAAAAUCAUAUUGAUGAAAUAAAGAAAAAUAUAUCUAACCUUAAAAUGUUAAGUAUUUUCUCUUACCUCGAUAGAGACAGACAAAAUUUGGAUUUAUAUCCAACAAAUGAAUAAGAAAAAUAUAAAUUAUGAAGAAGAGAGUCAAAUCCGAGGCCUCUUGUCAAAUAAAAUUUUAAUACCAUAUUGAAUUACUAAUUUUCCUAUAACUUUAAACUUGAUUUGAACUUAAUAUGCAUAUAUAUCAUACUUUUAAUACAAAUUACAAUCGUGUAAUUUAAAAACAGUUUUUUUUACUAUUGUUAUUGAUAAACAAUUUUAAAAAACAAAAUAAAAUGAGAACAAAUAGAAGUUGUUUGCAUUUAUUUUAAAAAAUAAAAGGAAAAAACGGGUUUAUUUGACUAUAUUUUCUAAAAUUUGUUUUUAAAUUAAAAAAUAAAAAAUAGUUUUUAAAUAUAUAAUUUUCUUAUAUUUUGUUAUCGAUCGAAAGAAUGUCAAGAACACGAUACAUCUCUUUACAGGUUGGCAUUUCCAAGUUACCCACAUAAUUACUAGAAAUCUAAAUUCUUGUAACUCAUUAAAAAAUUGUCACAUGCCCCAUGAUUUUCCAAAGUACAUAACCCACCUUGCUGACACGCAAUAAUGCAAGUCCAUCCACCAAAAGCUCACCCUUUAACCUCCAAAGAUGUCCUUUUCAUCCAAAACCCGCCUUCCAAUAUGUAGAGGAACGGUCAAAAGAUAUGAAAUGGGACAUCCCACAUUAACUCUCAUCUCUUUUCAUUUUCCUCCUAUAUAUCCAUACACUUCUCCCCUCCUGCUUUCCUCUCCAUUUCCUUGUUUCUCUUCCUCCACAAUGAAGGAGUCCUACUACUGCAACCCUGCAAUACGUUGCUUCUUGUUCAUAUUGUUUUCGGUAUCGGGUUCGGUUCAUGGAAGGCAUGAUCACGGGCAGCUCAUGGUGCCAUGUUUCUUCAUCUUCGGAGCUUCCUCGUUUGACAAUGGCAAUAACAAUGCCCUCCCAACUUUGGCUAAAGCCAAUUACCCGCCGUAUGGGAUCGACUUCCCUGCAGGGCCAACGGGGAGGUUUAGCAACGGGCGAAGCAUUGUCGAUAUCAUCUGUACUAUUCACCAUUCUCCCUACACAUGCCUAAACUGAUCAUACUCUUAUCCAUAUAUAUAUAUAUAUAUUACAAUUAUUACUAGUAUUUCUUCCUUGUAAUUAAAAGGUAUACAUAUGCUGGAAUAAUAUUGUAGGUUUAGGGUUNNNNNNNNNNNNNNNNNNNNNNNNNNNNNNNNNNNNNNNNNNNNNNNNNNNNNNNNNNNNNNNNNNNNNNNNNNNNNNNNNNNNNNNNNNNNNNNNNNNNNNNNNNNNNNNNNNNNNNNNNNNNNNNNNNNNNNNNNNNNNNNNNNNNNNNNNNNNNNNNNNNNNNNNNNNNNNNNNNNNNNNNNNNNNNNNNNNNNNNNNNNNNNNNNNNNNNNNNNNNNNNNNNNNNNNNNNNNNNNNNNNNNNNNNNNNNNNNNNNNNNNNNNNNNNNNNNNNNNNNNNNNNNNNNNNNNNNNNNNNNNNNNNNNNNNNNNNNNNNNNNNNNNNNNNNNNNNNNNNNNNNNNNNNNNNNNNNNNNNNNNNNNNNNNNNNNNNNNNNNNNNNNNNNNNNNNNNNNNNNNNNNNNNNNNNNNNNNNNNNNNNNNNNNNNNNNNNNNNNNNNNNNNNNNNNNNNNNNNNNNNNNNNNNNNNNNNNNNNNNNNNNUCUAAACAAGUGCAUAUAUGCUGCUGGAUUGGGGACUAACGACUAUGUCUCAAACUAUUUUCUCCCUUCACUUUAUCCAACUAGUCGCAUUUAUACUCCCGAGCAGUAUGCUCUAGUCCUAGCUCAACAAUAUUCACGACAAUUAAAGGUAUGGGCUAGUGCCUAGUUUUCUGUCUCUUAGCACCCCUAACAUGGAGAUCAUAUGAAGAAGUCACUUGGGUUUUCUUUUCUUUCUUGAUGCUAGACUCUGUACACAAACUAUGGAGCAAGGAAGGUAGCCCUAUUUGGAUUGGCGCAGCUAGGUUGCGCUCCUAGCGUAGUAGCUUCCAAAGGUGCCACAAAUGGCUCUGCAUGUGUGGAUUACAUCAAUGACGCUGUUCAAAUUUUCAACAAUCGACUCAAAGAGCUGGUGGAUGAGCUCAACCGUAACCUAACCGAUGCCAAAUUUAUCUAUGUGAAUGUUUAUGAGAUAGCAUCAGAGGCAACUUCAUAUCCUAGUAAGUAACAAUACUCUUUUUUUUUUCUUACUUUAUACUUAUUUUUUAUAUGUUUAAGGCUUAGGUGGUGUUUGUUUUCUUGGCUUUUUACUGAAAGCAAUUUAGUUUUAAAAUUUAGGUUGUUUGUUUUUCUACUUUUUCAUGAUUUAUUAUAAACUUUUUACUAAAUAGAAAAAACCAAAAUAUGUAACUUUUUCUAAAUAUAAAAAAUAACAUAUUCAUUUUUUUUUUUUACUUUUAAUACUUAAUAAAAAUAAAAUAUUACAAAAACAAACAACCUAAUAUUUAACACUAUUAAACAUUAAGGUUCAAUUUAGAAUUAAGUAAAAAAACAAAUACCACAUUAGUUUUAAUCUUAGAAAAUUUAUUAAAAGGAUAAUAUAUGGACCUUGUUUGGUAAUUGUUUUUAAAAAUAGUUUUGAAAAAUAAUUUUUGAAAGUUGUUCUUUAAUCUUUUGUAAAAUAAUGUUUGUUUUGGAACUUAAAAUGUUUUUAAUAUAUUUUUUAUAUUUUUAAAUAUGUUUUAAAACUAACUUUUAUAUGUAGUGUUUUAUUUUUAAUCAUUUUUUUUACAUCUUUGUAUUUUUUUUUAAAUAGUCUUGAAAAACAAGUGAAAACAAUUAAAAAUAAUAAAAGGAUGUUAAUUGAAGCAUCUUAGGAUCUAUUUGAUAACUGUUUUCGAAAAAAAUUCUGAAAAACCCUAAAAAAAUGUUUUUAACCUAUUUUUAAUAUUUUAAAAUAUGUUUUAAACACAUCUUUUAAUUAUUUUACAUGUUUAUAUAAUUAUUUUUAAAAAAAAACUCUAAAAAGAUAAGUGAAAAUAAAAGAAAAUAAUUAAAAAAUGCUUUCUGAACACACUAUAUUUUUUAUUCUUAAGAAAAGAAAACAAAAAAAUAAUUUUUAAUUAUCAAAUAUGUUUUCUAUAUUUUUUGUUUUAGAGAACAGAAAACCGUUCUGAAAAACAAUUUCCAAACAUGCUGUUAUUUUUUGUUUUUAAUAAUAAAAAACUAUUUUUUGUUUUUAUUUUUUAUUUUUAAAUAUGUUUUCCUUUUCCUUUUCUUUUUAUCCUAAAAAAAAAUAAAACUAUUUUCGAAAACAAUUAUCAAUCCCUUUUAUCUUUUUCUUGAACUUUAUUGGGGUUUUUUGUUUGUACAUUUUAGGCUUCAGGGUCAUCGAUGCACCAUGUUGUCCGGUGGCAAGCAAUAAUACUCUCAUACUUUGUACUAUUAACCAAACUCCAUGUCCUAAUAGAGAUGAAUACCUAUACUGGGAUGCCCUUCAUCUUUCGGAGGCCACCAAUAUGUUCAUUGCAAAUAGGUCAUAUAAUGCUCAAUCUCCCACCCACACUUGUCCGAUUGACAUAUCUGACCUCGCCAAGCUCUAGUAGGGUUUUGUUGCAAAUAGCAAAUAUUUGGCUUUUGUUGUACUGAAGUUCCAUAGUUUGUGUUUUAUUUUCAAAUAAUAAGGCUAUUUACUACUACCUUCAUUUCUUC